GCACCCUACCCUGCAUGUCACCGUAGGUGAGAGAACCUUUUCCCAGAUAAAGUUAAGGCUUUAAAAGGAAAGAAAGAGAAAAGAAGAAAGCAUAUAGAAAGGAUCAUGUCUUUCUCGUAUAUCAUCCACAUGCAUACAAACACAGACACGGAUAAACGGAGACACCUGCGGGGGGAGCGGAGCGGUCACUUGCAUGUUCCAUCCCAAAUCAGUGAGAAAUCACUCUCAGAUGUGAGACUUUGGCAGCGAGGGAUGCAACUAUUGCAAGCAAGUACAGUACUACACCACCACCACCACCACCCACACCCACACAUUCCCAUUCAUGAAAAGCAGAGCUAUACAUUUAAUAAAGGAAAAGAGACAAAAAUCACAAGCUCCCCUGCUUUUGCUUUCCAUUUUAAAUGCAGAAAAUAGUUGAGCGGAAAUGAGGAAUAUAGUUGAGACAUUAGUGUUCACUCUUGGGUGAUGAAGAAUAGGAGCAUGUCCUUGAUAACAGCCAUGAACUCAGACAGAUAAAAAGUGUGAGCUUUGAGUGAAGAUCUGUCUUGGAUCCAUAUCAUGAAAAGCCUUUGCAUUUAUAAUGGAAUUACUUGGUUUGUUAUUUGUA